UUAAAUUCCCGGGUAUUCCUGGCUNUAAAAGAUGCGGNUUAGGUNUCGGGCGAUNUUCCAAGCNUCGCCCGGUGCCCGCAGGGAAAGCCGUUAAGCCCCCCCGCCUGGGGAGUACGGCCGCAAGGCUGAAACUUAAAGGAAUUGGCGGGGGAGCACUACAAGGGGUGGAGCGUGCGGUUUAAUUGGAUUCAACGCCGGGAACCUCACCGGGGGCGACGGCAGGAUGAAGGCCAGGCUGAAGGUCUUGCCGGACACGCCGAGAGGAGGUGCAUGGCCGCCGUCAGCUCGUACCGUGAGGCGUCCACUUAAGUGUGGUAACGAGCGAGACCCGCGCCCCCAGUUGCCAGUCCUCCCCGCUGGGGAGGAGGCACUCUGGGGGGACCGCCGGCGAUAAGCCGGAGGAAGGAGCGGGCGACGGUAGGUCAGUAUGCCCCGAAACCCCCGGGCUACACGCGCGCUACAAUGGGCGGGACAAUGGGAUCCGACCCCGAAAGGGGAAGGUAAUCCCCUAAACCCGGUCUAACCUGGGAUCGAGGGCUGCAACUCNNCCUCGUGAACCUGGAAUCCCUAGUACC
rnacentral:rRNA from 1 species